AUGUGCGGUCUCAAAGGCUGUCAAGUCAUCCCCUCUCAACCAGUCUCCAAAGAAAUGCCAAGGAGUUACCAAUACUGGAUGAAGCAUGGUCAAAACGAGGGGUGAUAAGUUGGAAGUUGGGUUGUCUUUGAGGAGGAGCCUAGAAGAAGGUGUGAGAAUAUAGCCUUCUUCUUCCUCAUGUUCAUGAACUUUUGCCAUAGCAAAGAAGCCAGAAUGCACCAGCAAACGCAUGAGCCGGUGCACACAACUGGCUUUUGUGGGGGGGAUAUGAAGCGCGGAGACCAACUGGGGAAGAGUCGUGGGGUGGGCAUGGUUGUGGAUUAUGUCAGGAAUGCCUAGCUGAACUGCACAUCUAAGUGCCAUGGAAUUCAUGAAGCUACAGAUAUGUUUAUACAUAUGAGAUUGAGCUUGAAACAACUCACCUGCUCCCUCUCCAUGAAUAAGAUCCAUGGAUAAUGCACUUAACCUUCCUCCUCUAAUCAUAAAACACUCCUGGCCUGUGUUUUUUAUAUACGGGAUGAUUGAUUGAUGACGAACAAUCAAUCAUUGGAAAUAGCUGGACUGAUGGAAGAGUGAACUUUUUUUCCAAUACUGUAUGGUCAUAUAUAAUUAUAUUUGUGUAAAUAUUAUUUAAGAGUACCAAUUGAUAGAUAGGUAAAUAAAUUGAUUGGACAUCUAAGAGUCUUAUGUAUGAAAGACUCAAAUAUAAAUGGGGAAUUAGAAAAUUUAAUUUAUAUGAAUGUGGUGUUACAACUUUUGUAACUCCAUCAUUAUGAAAUUUAAUUUGUACAUUAUGUUUACGAGUAAUUGAGAAAAAUGGAAAAAUAUAAACUAUAUCAUUAUAUAGAUGCAUUCACAUUCAUAACCCACCAUUACUCAUUAAUUUGUACAUAAUGGUUGUAAAUAACAAGUAUAACUCUCAUAUAGUCUUUGAUGAAAAGACUAAGAAAUGUACAACUUUUAUAAGUUAAGGUCCCAAGCCACACUCUCAUACUUAUGUCCUUUUGUUAUUUUAUUUUUUAACAAUAGACACCACACAAGUGUCUUAUCUACCAUAUGAAAGUAGUGAGUUAAAAACCUUGACAAUACAAUUGACAAGGUAACUCAAUCUCACUUCAAAAGUGUUAUUGGUAUCAUGGAUCAAGAAUAUGAUCAUUAUUUUAGUACUUAUAUUUAUUUUGUUUUAUGCAUCCAAAAUUAUUUUUUAAAAUAAUUAUUUUCACAUAAAUAUAUUUAAAACUUAAUACUUAUUACUUAAUAACUUAAAUUGGUUUUAAGUUAAAUUAUACUUAACUUAUUAACUUAAAAUUUAUUGUAAAUCAUCAAAUUAAUAUAUAUAUAUAUAUAUAUAUAUAUAUAUAUAUAUAUAUAGACACACAAAGGAGAUCGAAUAAUAAUAAAAGUUGUGGGGUAGUAUAAGAGAUUGUGAAAAUAAUUAGGAUAAAUGAGGAUAUAUAUAUAUAUAUACUCAUAAAUUAUAGUUAAAGCAAAAGAGGUCGAAUAAUAAUAAAAGUUGUGAGUUAGUAAAAGAGAUUGUGAAAAUAAUUAGGACAAAUGAGAAUAUAUAGAUAAAAUGAAAAUAUAAAUUUAAAAAUAAAUUAAUUAGUUUAUUACUUAAAGUUAUUUUUAACUUUAAAUCAUCGGGAAUUUUCCUUUUUUUUAUUCAUUUUUAUUUUUAUUUUUAGCUUCUUUAUCAACCCGAGGACGAGCCGGUGGUGGCAGCAAAAAAAAAAAAAAAACAGGACGGCUUGAGAGAAAAACAACUAAUGGAUGGGUUGUUUUUGCGGUAGAUGGGACGGGAAGAAGGGGGAACGACAGGAGAUGUGAUGUUUGGGCAAACAGAAAAGAAAUAUUGCUUGAGAGAGGUAGGCAGUGAGCUAGGGAAGUAGGGAGAAAAAGAAAAAAAAAACACAGUUGUAGAGAGAGGGGAGAGGUUCUGAAAAAAAAAAAAAAUUGAUUCUCUUCAUUUUUUUGUUUUUUCUCCAACAGAUCUUCCACAUUGCUCACUCUCACCGUUUGCUUUUUUUUUUUCUUUUUUUUUUUUUCAUUUUUCUUGGGGUGUUUUACCCGUCAAGCCUGGAUUUUCCCGAAAAUGAGCGCUGAGAACUUGGUUGUCUUUCUUUGAAGCUGUGGAACUCCGAUCAGCUAUUGGUUUCUGAUUAUCCGCGUUCUCUUUGCGGGCAGCUAAUCGCCUGCUGUCAGCCCCUUAGCCACUUGAUUCAGACCCAGAGAAAUAGGCCUCAUGGGUAGGCCUUGCACUCAUGAGAGCCUAGGCGGAAAGCAAGGAAAGCCUAGAGGUUUGGUGGUUCAAACCCCAAGAGCUAAGUGUGGGCGGAAAUGGAUUCGGCGAAUCACGAGUAUUUGACGAGCCAAGCUAUCCGGGGAAUCUGAAUCGUUGGCCACGUAUGUUCUUUUGAUAAGCGUUACCCAAAGGAUCCGGAUGUGAGAUAUCCGGAGAAGGUGGAACGUCGGUCGGACAAAAUUCCGGAUGUGAGAUAUCCGGGUGGAAUGAGUGAGAAUUUUCGUCCUGGUGUAAUGGCGCAAUGCCAUGGCUCGUUGAAGCUGAACCUGACGAGUGGGAGCAACAGGCCCAGGCCAUGGGCACCUCAACAUGGCUUGGGCUCACGCAUCAGUGUGGGAGAGGCACACUGAUGCAACCUGGUCAGCUAGUGGUGCAUGCUGCUUGGUUCCAAGAGCCUUGAUCAGAGACGCGUUGGUGGGCACCCGGUCAUAAGAGGCAUCUUGAGGAGAAUGAGGCAGCUUGUUAGGGGAGGGCUCUCCGGCAACUUAAUGAGGCAGGCUCGAGGAGAUGGCAGCUAGUCAGAGCACUAGCUGGGACAGCUAGUGAUCAAGUCAGUCAGCUACCUAGACUGGUAGUGGGCUGAGGCACUGUUGAUGCAAGUGGGUGGUUUCUCAGCAGACCACCAUCUGGGUAGUGGGUGGUUGUGCAAGCGGUUCAGAGCGGUUUUGGGCGGUUGCAUAAUCACUAGGGGAAAAAACUGCAGGGUGAGUCUUUUAAAAGGGCUCCUGCAACCUUGAGAUGAGAGAGAGAGAGAAAGAGGAAUGUAGUCUCUAAAUGCUUGGGAUGUAAGCAUUGCUCUCUGACUCGGGGAAGCAAUUUUGUAUUUUGUAGUUGAGAUUAAUACAAGUUGGGAAGGAUUUCCUGUAACCUCGUUGUGUCCCUGUUUCCUUUGGUUUGCUAUUGUUUGUGUGCGUUUUGAGAAGGCUGAGAGAGAAGGUUGGCUAAGGAAGGGUCCUUAGCACCGCGCACCAGGUGAAAAUUUUAGGGUGAUUUUCGAGGGUAUGACACCUGCCAUAAGUUGAAUAUAAUUCAUCAAAGGAUUUUCUAACUAAAAAAAAUGGGGGAAGAGAGUGAGAGAAAGAGAGAAGGGUGUUUGUGUUUGUUUUCUGAGAAAAUUUCUCAAAACAAGGCAUCAUUUUCCGGAAAAGUUAUAGUGCAUAAGGAUCGUUAUUUAGGCGGCUACAUGCCCGAACCAGUGCGAUACCAUGCCUCCAUCAGAAAUGGUCUGUGUAUUAUUUCAAUUAUGUUGCUUUUAUUAUUUAUUUAUUUAUUUAUUUUGUAUUGAUUUGGUUCUAUUGUGUGCUACUGAUAACUUAGGCUUGUUGUUUGGGAGAUUUGAAAGUAUUGGCAAGACGUGGGCUUGAGGACAUUGUUCUUUUGUUCUUUGGUUGAAUGUGUUGGAUUUGAAGUUACAAAGAAGGGUCAGGGGUUUCUUGCUUUAAGCGUUUUUUUUUUUUGGUGGGGGAUUUGACCUGGGUGGAGAGAUUUGAGGCAUUUUCUGUUGUGGAUAUUGUUGUUUUCAGGGUCAGAACUGAAAACUGAGCUGGGGUUUGGGAACUAGGUUCAUUUCGGUGUUUGUCUGAGUGGUUUUCUUAGGCAUUUUUAUUAAGAUUUCACCGAGUCCUCAAGUAAUACAGUGUUAUUCCUUUGUUGUCAUGGCAUGGACGGUGCUCUUUCGGCCACCCUCGCCGACGGUGGUAAUUUGGCCACCAUCCAAUGCCACGUAUAGUAGCAUUAUCCCUUCAUCUUGCUUUUAUCCUUUGCUAAGGUUAAAAAUUUACUUACUUAUUUAUUUUAUUUACUCUUUUUUUUUUAUUCUCAAAUAACUCCUUAAAACCUCCUAAAUUUCCAAAGCUCAAAAUUUAUUUAUUUCUUUAAAAAUACCAUUUUCGAAAUAAUCUUCUAAAAUCUGAUUUUAAAUUUAGUUUACAACUCUUUAAUUCUCGAAAUUCAAUUUUCCAAAACUCUAACUUUUAAAUUUAAUUCUUCAAAAAUUCUAAUUCUUGGAAUAAUUUUCUAAAAUUCUAAUUUUAAAUUUAACCUUUCAAGGUUCAAAAUUUUAAAAUUUAAUUUUCCAAAAAUUCCACAAUUCCAAAUUUAAUUUUUAAAAGGUCACAUUCAAAUAAAUUUUCGAAACUUCAAUUCCUUUCAAAUCAAAUUUUCAAGAAUUUCAUUCUCAAAUAAUCCUUCAAAAUUCCCUUUCUUAAAUUUAAUUUUCAAAUUUCCGUUUUCAAAUAAUUUUUCGAAAUUCCGACUUUCAAAUUUUAAAUAAUUCUUCAAAAUUUUGAUUUCCAAAUUUAAUUUCCAAUUUCCAAAAUUCCAACUUUCACAUUUAUUUAUUUAAUUAUUAUUAUUUUUGUUAUUAUUUUAUUUAUUUAUUUUAAAGUUCCAUCUUUAAAUAAUUCUUCAAAAUUCUGAUUUUCAAAUUCCAAAAUUCCAAUUUUCACAUUUAUUUGUUUGAUCAUUAUUAUUUUUUUCAUUAUUAUUUUAUUUAUUUAUUUUUAAAAUUUUAUCUUUAAAUAAUUUUUCAAAAUUCUGACUUCCAAAUCCCAAAAUUUCAAUUUUCAUAUUUAUUUAUUUAAUCAUUAUUAUUUUUGUUAUUAUUAUUUUUAUUUAUUUUUAAAUUUUCCACCUUUAAAUAAUUCCUCAAAUUUUCGAUUUCCAAAUUUAAUUCCCAAUUUCCAAAAUUCCGAUUUUCCAAUUUCCGAAUUUAAUUUUCAAGUUCAAAAAUUCUAAUUUUUCACAUUUAUUUAUUUAAUCAUUAUUAUUUCAUUAUGAUUAUUAUUAUUUUUAUUUAUUUCUUUCUUUUUAAAAUUCCAUCUUUAAAUAAUUCUUCAAAAUUCCGAUUUUCAAAUUUAAUUUCCAAUUUCCAAAAUUCCGAAUUUUCAAUUUUCGAAUUUAAUUUCCAACUUAAAAAAUUCUAAUUUUCACAUUUAUUUAUUUAAUCAUUAUUAUUUUCAUUAUUAUGAAACCAAGAUUUGGUUAAUCUUGAUUUUGAUAAUAACAAAACAAGGUUUAUAACUAAUGAUCAUAUUUCAAGUGUGAUUAGGCAAGACGAUUUCCAAAGUGGCAAUCACAAAAACAAAUCAAGCUAAGGAGAAAUCAUGAAAAAGAAGACCACCUCAAAGAUAAGAGUUUUUCAAGACCUAAGCUUCAUAAGAUUUCUUUGUAAGGUUGUUGGUGCAUUAGGACUUUCAUACAUUUCAUUCUUUACUUAUGCACCAAAAUCAUUUAAGAGUAAUAUUGUUUUAAAUAUCUUAAGAAUUGAAUGAUUUCAUGUUUUCAACUAAAACUUUGUGUUAAAUAUUUUUCAAACUUGUUUUAAAAGGUUUUAAGUUGAAAAAGAUUGGGUGUUGAGCCAAAAAAUGGUUCAGCCGGUUCAAUCGGUUUAGGAACCGGUCGACCGGUUGUGCUCGUCCGGUCAAGUACCGGUCGAGGGAGGUCAAAAUUUUUUUCUCUCUCCUAGUGGCCUUCUCUUCUCGGUCGAGGUGAUUCUCUUCCUGAUCAAGGUCCGAUUGAGGCCAAUGGUUACCUGUCAAGCAUUUAAUGCUAACGACUAGCCAACCGGUCGAACCCCCAAACGGCUAGUUUGGUUUUUCUCUCCUAUAAAAAGACUUUAAUCUUCAUUGUUUAAAAAGCUUAACGUUCCCAAAUCUUACAUGAUUAUAUUUGAGCAUUGGAAGAGUAUUUUUUAGUGCACCAUUAUUUCAAAACUUGCAUAUCUUUAGUGCACCUUUCAAUCCUAGUUUUCUUGUAUCAAUUGAGUUUAAAGUUCUUGUACUAGGAUUUUUGUAAGAUCUUUUAUUUGUAAGUCCUUGAGAGGAAGUUGUUAAAGAGAGGGAUAUUUCUUGAGAAGUGUAAAGGGUGCUUGGAGCCAAAAGUCCAAGAGGGAGAAUUGGAACCAUAAUCCAAUUGUAUUGCUUGAAAGCUUGGUUUGGAAGCCUUGAAUUAGUGGAACCUCAAGCUCGGGAUUGAAGCUAGAGGAGAGCGGAUGUAGGUCGGGUUGCGCCGAACCACUAUAAACUCUUGUGUUUGCAUUCUCUCUUCCCUACUCUUUAAUUUAUAUGCAAUUGUCUAUAUAUUGCUUAUUAUAUACUUGCAUAUAAUUGUCUCUUACAUUCACUUGUUUAAAUUUGCGAAAAGAGACCAUCACCCUAUUCACCCCCCCUCUAGGGUGAUUACCAUAGGUUGGAUUAGCCUAAAAUUCCUAACAAUUAUGAUUAUUAUUAUUUUUAUUUAUUUAUUUAUUUAUUUAUUUAUUUUUAAAACUUCAUCUUUAAAUAAUUCUUCAAAAUUUCGAUUUCCAAAUUUAAUUCCUAAUUUCCGAAAUUCCUAUUUUCCAAUUUUCAAAUUUAAUUUCUAAUUUUCAAAAUUAUAAUCUUCACAUUUAUUUAUUUAAUCAUUAUUAUUUUAUUUAUGUAUUUAUUUUCAAAAUUUCAUCUUUAAAUAAUUCUUUAGAAUUCCGAUUUCCAAAUUUAAUUUUCAAUUUUAAAUUUUCAAUAUUCCAAUCUUCACAUUUAUUUAUUUAAUCAUUAUUACUUUCAUCAUUAUUAUUUACCUACUUAUUUUUAAAAUUCCAUCACUAAAUAAUUAUUUGAAAUUCCAAUUUCCAAAUUUAAUUUCCAAUCUUCAAAAUCCCAAUUUUCACAUUUAUUUAUUUAAUCAUUAUUAUUUUCGUUAUUAUUAUUAUUUUAUUUAUUUAAUUAUUUAUUUUUAAAAUUCUAUCUUUAAAUAAUUCUUUCAAAAUUCCAAUUCUUAAAUUUAAUUUUCAAAAUUCCAAUUCUUAAGUUUAAUUUCCAUAAUUCCAAUUUUUAAAUUUAAUUUCCAAAAUUCUAAUUCUUAAAUUUAAUUUUCAAAACUCUAAUUCUCAAAUAAUUUUCAAAAUUCUAAUUUCUUUCAAAUUUAAUUUUCGAAAUUCCAAUUCUUAAAUUUAAUUUUCAAAACUCAAAUUCUCAGAUAAUUUUAAAAAUUCCAAUUCUUUUCAAAUUUAAUUUCCAAAAUUCUAAUUUUUAAAUUUAAUUCCAAUUCCCAAGACUUCAAUUUUCAAAUAAUUUUCGAGACUCCAAUUUCCAAAUAAAUUUCUAAAAUCCAGUUUUCUCUCGAACAGUUUUAAUUCCACUCCGAUUUUCAAAUAAUCUUCUGUUUCUUUUGAUUUUUCAUAAGUAAAAAUGAAUUUUUCAUAAUUCCAAAAUAAUGAAAUUUGUGAGAUCAAUGUAUGCAAAAUAAAUUGGGCUUUGGUGGGGAUUGCUAUGCCUAAUGAAUAUUGUUUGAUUUUUGUUUUGACAUUUAACAUGCAUGCGAUAUAUUUUGUAUUUGUUAUUGCACACUAACUCUGUUUCAUGAUAGUGUUUUAUUACCUGUUACCAAGGUAUGCUCUCGCUCUCACUUUGUUCAUUUAUUCAUUAUCAAGAGUUGCUUCUGAUUUGUGAUCACUUUGGUAUCUAUUGAUUUCCUUACCAAUUGUCAUGUUUGCUUCAUCUAAUUAGUAGAGACCCGUUUUUAGGGAUUUAGAGGGGUGCUAUGGUCUUUCACCGUACCUUCUCAAUAGGUAACCUGACCCCCGAACCUAGACUCGGUUUUUCAUAGGCUUGUCUUUUCCAAACAAGGAGUUACACUUAAGGAUUUCUUUCUUAUUUUGUUUUCCCUUAAAAAAAUAAAACAAAAAUAAGUGGCGACUCCAAGUCUUUUUCUAAAAAUGAAAUUUUCACCAAACAAAUAAAAAAAAAUGAGUUUUGCCAUCGAGUAGGAACGCGUCGAGCGAAAUGCAGGGUCCACACAUACCAUUAAGUUAUUUUACCAAACAUAUUUAAUUUACUUAAUGACUUAAAUUAAAUAAUUAAGUCACUUUUAUUAUUAAGUUGGUUUGCUGAAUACCCACUUAAAGUUAUUUUUAAUUUUAAGUAUUAAAUCAAAAUAGUUAAUUUAUUCUUAAUUUCAAAUCCUUUUUGUUUCACUUGCCCACAUAAGAGAAAUUAUAUUUUAAAAUUAUAAUUCUACAUUCAUGACUCAUUUUUUAUUAUAAAUAUUUUAUAUAUUAUAAUCAUUUAAAUAUAAAUAAAUUUAUUACUUAAAAUUAAUGGAAAUAAAGAUGAGUUAAAAUCAAUGAUGGUAAAUUUUAGUUAAAAUUAAUAAGAGUAAAUGCUUAAUACUAUCUUAUAUUAUUUUAUGAUAGUUUUUUUUUUCUAGAAUAAGCAAUUUUUUUUUUGUUUCUAGAACAAUCAAUUUUUUCCAUUUUUACCCGGUAUUUUGAUUGGGAAAGAAAUAAGAAGCCAAGGAAGAAGAAGGAAGAAGAAAUGGGGAGGAGGAAGAAGACGAGAGAGCAGUGGAGAGUGGAGAGGCUUUGCCCUUUCCUCUUUUACCCAAGGACCCAUUUGGCAAUGAGCAUUUAUUAAAAAUUAAAUAAAAAUAAAAUUUUAGUUUAUUAGAAUAAAUUUAAGAAUUUCUAAAUAUUCUUUUUUUUUUAACAAAUAAAUAAUUAAAAAAAUUAAAAACUCACAUUCCAUGUUUUUGCCUUUUUUUUUCUUUUUAAAUAGGCAUGUGAGUUUUUCUUCUAUGAGUAAAGAAGAAUCAUGACUAUUAUGAGAAUGAUUUAAUGAAUUUUAAAUAAAAUUUUAAUUUUUAAAUAAUAUAUAAAUUAUUAUUUUAUUUUUAUAAUUAUUUUAAAUUUUAAUAAUUUAUAAAUUAUAUAUUUAUGACAUCAUUGGUUUGAUCGCGGGUCAACCGUCGAUCAGAUCAAUGAACCGUGAACUGAUAACUUUUUCGGUUCAAUAAUCGAUCCGAUUCUGAAAACAUUGCAUUUAAGUAUUUAAGUAAAUUAAAUUUUUUAAUAAAUAAAUAUUUAUCUGUGUCUGGCUAUCCGCUGCAAAAAGCAUUAUGAGGAGAGAAUGGCUCAAAUAUACUGUUAAAACCCAUUCCAAAAUGAACACAAUAGUAGAGCUCACCAUUCAGGGGUAGUCCUCAAGAAAUCCCAACUUCAUUUGGAAUACAAACAAAUGGUAUUAUCUAGUAGGAACUGUGAAAGACUAAUGGCAGGACAGAAGUCAUAGGGGGGCGUCAAACUCACAUCCAAGCUUGGGACACAUGAUUUAUUCCACACUAUCAUCAAGCUUGUAUUACAUGUACAAUUAACUCCGACUAAGGAAACACCUCAAUAAGGGACCUUAGACCAAAUAUGGGGGUUAUCUUAUAGUGCCUGAAACCAGCCUCCAAGAAGAGCCUUUCCCACUCUUUCUCAUUUCUUUCUCUUCCAUUUACCAGUGUCAUCAUCAUCAUGUCCAUCAGUAGCUUUGUUUCUGUUAUGUCAUCUUCAUCUUUCUUUUCAUUUAUCACUACGUCUAUGAUGAUAACCUUUCCUCCCUCUUCUUCGCUUCGAAUUGCUUCUCUGCAUUUCUUCAGUAUCUUCAGGCAAUCUUCAUCACUCCAAUCAUGCAGGACACACUGUCAAUCAUUCAUUUUUUUUUUUCCCACCAGAAAUCAGAAAGCAUAAUAAAGAACAAAAAAAACAUGUAGAAAUUUUAAAUGGCAAAUCUGAAAAGUAAAAGAAAUUAACAGGUCGAACAAUUUGAUCAAAGACAAAAACAAAUCAACACUUAAGGGGAGAAAUGAAUACCUUAAGUAGAAUGGCAUCGGCAGAAGGGACGGACUGAAACAUAUCACCUCCAACAUACUCCAAGUUCCUACUCUCUGGUAAGUUAGCAACAACGUGGGGAAGGUCAAAAACUGUGCAUUUCAAUUGAGGGAAGGCCUCCGAAAUGAUCCUGGCAAGAAGACCUGUCCCACCUCCCAGAUCUACCAAUGAACUCAACCCCUCAAAAACUGGCUUCAACUCUCUAAAAUUAACCACACUCAUCAUUUGAGAGUCACUGGCCAUUCCUUCAUUGAAAAGAUUGAAAAUUUCAGGGUUAUGGCUCCCAUGGUCCCAAAAGCUCACCCCAUGUGCGGUCUCAAAGGCUGUCAGGUCAUCCCCUCUCAACCAGUCUCCAAAGAAAUGCCAAGGAGUUACCAAUGCUGGAUGAAGCACGGUCAAAACGAAGGGUGAUAAGUUGGAAGUUGGGUUGUCUUUGAAGAGGAGCCUAGAAGAAGGUGUGAGAAUAUAGCCUUCUUCUUCCUCAUGUUCAUGAACUUUUGCUAUAGCAAAGAAGCCAGAAUGCACCAGCAAACGCAUGAGCCGGUGCACACAACUGGCUUUUGUGGGGGGGAUAUGAAGCGCGGAGACCAACUGGGGAAGAG
rnacentral:lncRNA from 1 species